GCUUACACAUGCAGUCGAACGAUGAACCGCUUUCGGGCGGGGAUUAGUGGCGAACGGGUGAGUAACACGUGGGCAAUCUGCCCUGCACUCUGGGACAAGCCCUGGAAACGGGGUCUAAUACCGGAUAUGACUGUCCGCCGCAUGGUGGAUGGUGUAAAGCUCCGGCGGUGCAGGAUGAGCCCGCGGCCUAUCAGCUUGUUGGUGAGGUAGUGGCUCACCAAGGCGACGACGGGUAGCCGGCCUGAGAGGGCGACCGGCCACACUGGGACUGAGACACGGCCCAGACUCCUACGGGAGGCAGCAGUGGGGAAUAUUGCACAAUGGGCGAAAGCCUGAUGCAGCGACGCCGCGUGAGGGAUGACGGCCUUCGGGUUGUAAACCUCUUUCAGCAGGGAAGAAGCGAAAGUGACGGUACCUGCAGAAGAAGCGCCGGCUAACUACGUGCCAGCAGCCGCGGUAAUACGUAGGGCGCAAGCGUUGUCCGGAAUUAUUGGGCGUAAAGAGCUCGUAGGCGGCUUGUCACGUCGGUUGUGAAAGCCCGGGGCUUAACCCCGGGUCUGCAGUCGAUACGGGCAGGCUAGAGUUCGGUAGGGGAGAUCGGAAUUCCUGGUGUAGCGGUGAAAUGCGCAGAUAUCAGGAGGAACACCGGUGGCGAAGGCGGAUCUCUGGGCCGAUACUGACGCUGAGGAGCGAAAGCGUGGGGAGCGAACAGGAUUAGAUACCCUGGUAGUCCACGCCGUAAACGGUGGGCACUAGGUGUGGGCAACAUUCCACGUUGUCCGUGCCGCAGCUAACGCAUUAAGU
rnacentral:rRNA from 1 species